GUAUUGGUGGUUCAGUGGCAGAAUUCUCGCUUUCCCUGCUGGAGAUCCUAGUUCAAUUCCUAGCCAAUGCA
rnacentral:tRNA from 1 species